UACGUCCACACCUUUUAGGUGUGGGCCAGUUGGCUGUCAUACUUCCAAGAAAAGCUCGAACUACUGUAAAGCAUCAAAUACCUGUACCGUAAACCGACACAGGUGGGUUGGUAGAGUAUACCAAGGGGCGCGAGAUAACUCUCUCUAAGGAACUCGGCAAAAUGACCCCGUAACUUCGGGAGAAGGGGUGCCAAGUAACUAAAAUUGCUUGGUCGCAGUGACCAGGCCCUGGCGACUGUUUAUCAAAAACACAGGUCUCCGCAAAGUCGUAAGACAACAUAUGGGGGCUGACGCCUGCCCAGUGCCGGAAGGUUAAAGAAGUUGGUUAUUCAUUCGUGGAGAAGCUGACGACUGAAGCCCCGGUGAACGGCGGCCGUAACGAUAACGGUCCUAAGGUAGCGAAAUUCCUUGUCGGGUAAGUUCCGACCCGCACGAAAGGCGUAACGAUCAGGGCACUGUCUCGGAGAGAGACUCGGUGAAAUAGACAUGUCUGUGAAGAUGCGGACUACCUGCACCUGGACAGAAAGACCCUAUGAAGCUUGACUGUAGCCUGGAAUUGGGUUCGGGCUCUUCUUGCGCAGCCUAGGUGGGAGGCGUUGAAAGCUUUCUUUUGGGAAAGCUGGAGCCAUCAGUGAGAGACCACUCUGGAGGAGCUAGAAUUCUAAUGGCGUUUCUUGAAGCAGGACGCUUGACAGUUUCAGGUGGGCAGUUUGACUGGGGCGGUCACCUCCUAAAAGGUAACGGAGGUGUGCAAAGGUUCCCUCAGGCUGGACGGAAAUCAGCCGUAGAGUGUAAAGGCAGAAGGGAGCUUGACUGCAAGACCUACAAGUCGAGCAGGGGCGAAAGCCGGCCUUAGUGAUCCGACGGUUCCAUGUGGAAGGGCCGUCGCUCAACGGAUAAAAGUUACUCUAGGAUAACAGGCUGAUCUUCCCCAAGAGUUCACAUCGACGGGAAGGUUUGGCACCUCGAUGUCGGCUCAUCGCAACCUGGGGCGGUGGUACGUCCCAAGGGUUGGGCUGUUCGCCCAUGAAAGCGGUACGUGAGCUGGGUUCAGAACGUCGUGAGACAGUUCGGUCCAUAUCCGGUGUAGGCGUUAGAGCAUUGAGAGGAGCCUUCCAUAGUACGAGAGGACCUGGAAGGACGCACCUCUGGUAUACCAGUUAUCAUGCCAAUGGUACACGCUGGGUAGCCAUGUGCGGAGUGGAUAACCGCUGAAAGCAUCUAAGUGGGAAGCCCACCUCAAGAUGAGUGCUCUCCAUCAGGUCACAGGAAGACAACCUGUUUGAUAGGCAGAAGGUGUAAGGCUAGUAAUAGUUUCAGCUGAUCUGUACUAAUAGACCGAUUGAUUUU
rnacentral:rRNA from 1 species